UAAUCCCUGCUGCCCUUUCGCUGGCCCAGGAAGGGGUAAAUCACAGAUCAGUGUCAGAGGUGCGAUGAAAACCCAGGAGUUCUGAUUCCUGGGUCACCAUGCUCCCUUUGCCAAGGGUGGAGCCGACACCAACAGACUCUUAGCUCCUGUGCCCUGUGCAUCCUGGUGUUCGUGCACGUGCUGCACGGAAGAGCUGCAUCCUGGGACAAUUUUAUGGCUGAUGAGAACAUAUCCUGAUCCACUCCACAUUUCAGUGUAACCUUGCAGUAUACCUGUAACACUGGAGGCACACAUCUCUUCCCUAGCAGCCCUUAAGAACCUGAAUGGUAGAGAGAGGGAGGAUCACAAAAGUUUGCUUCCAGCUCUAUACUCACCCACAGAUCAACGAGGGGCAAGGAUAGAAGCAGAGACAUCAAUGGAGAAGAGGCUAUAGAAAGAUUCUGAGCAAGAAAUGACAAUGGGUUGGUAAUGGUAGUGCAGGUGAUAAGAAGAAGUCACGUUCCAGAUGUACUUUUUCAGAUCAUUUGCUCUGGAGAAAGCCAGCAGGCAUGAGAGGCCCAUGUGGUGAGGAACUGAAGCCUCCUGCCCACAGCCACAUGUGUGAACUUAGAAAUUAGAAGAUCUUCUAGCCCAGUCAAUGGCUGUACAAUGGCUACAACCCUGGCUAAUACCUUGACUUCAACCUCACGAAACACUGAGCUAGAACCACCCAACUAAGCUGUUCCUAGAUUCCUCACCAUCAGGAACUGUGUGCUCCUGCAGACAGAUCAUCAGAAAAUUCAACUUUCAAGUGAGGAUCAUAAGCCAGAGAGUGCAGGACUCCACACCAGGGCAGAUGACCUGUGGAUUCCAGAAGCUCUCAGGAAUUUUGCAGAUUUCUCAAGGGCAACCCUGUCCAUAGAACGGGGAAAAGAACAAGCCCAUGCCUCCAAAGAGAAACUUCACAGUUCGCCUAAGUUUAACCUCUAGUGAUUCAUUCUCUUGUGUGUGGGGGCCUUCUGAUCUCUGGGAGCUCCCUCAAAGGCAAACUCCCAUGCAGAGGGCAUUUCUGAGGACUGAAAUCCAGAUUAAAGCCGCAGCAUCUCUCAGUUGAAGGCAGAGGUAUAAAGUCAAAGACUCCAGAAGUUCUUGGAAAAUGAUAAGUCAAUCUCUUGACAAAUGAUCCAGGGGCAACUUCGAAUUCCUGUUUCUAUCUCUACCUCUCUGAUUACUUUAACAAGCACUUUCUGAUUGGACCUUGGUAAUUCCAGCAAGCCAAGACUUUCCAUGGGACUUCACCUUACCCUCUUAGAUUACUGGCAACCUCGCAUCCCCUGAAUUCCUGUUCAGGGAGAAGAGCAAGUCCUUCCUUCAGGGACUGGAGAAUGACAACCUUCACAGAACCCAGAGCUAGAGACUGAGGACUCAGAAUGUAGACUGGGAAUAAGAGAACUACAGCCAGGGGCCAAAUCCCUCCAGCCACAACAACAACAAAAAAAAAAAAAAAAAAA
rnacentral:lncRNA from 1 species